GACGAACGCUGGCGGCGUGCCUAAUACAUGCAAGUCGAGCGAAGUUUUUCUGGUGCUUGCACUAGAAAAACUUAGCGGCGAACGGGUGAGUAACACGUAAAGAACCUGCCUCAUAGACUGGGACAACCAUUGGAAACGAUAGCUAAUACCGGAUAACAGUAUUUCUCGCAUGAGAGAUAUUUAAAAGUUGGUUAUGCUAACACUAUGAGAUGGCUUUGCGUUGCAUUAGCUAGUUGGUGGGGUAAAGGCCCACCAAGGCGACGAUGCAUAGCCGACCUGAGAGGGUGAUCGGCCACACUGGGACUGAGACACGGCCCAGACUCCUACGGGAGGCAGCAGUAGGGAAUCUUCCGCAAUGGACGAAAGCCUGACGGAGCAACGCCGCGUGAGUGAAGAAGGAUUUCGGUUCGUAAAGCUCUGUUGUUAGGGAAGAAUGGAUAUGUAGUAACUAUACAUGUAAGAGACGGUACCUAACCAGAAAGCCACGGCUAACUACGUG
rnacentral:rRNA from 1 species